rnacentral:rRNA from 1 species
AACGAACGCAGGCGGCAGGCUUAACACAUGCAAGUCGAACGCCCCGCAAGGGGAGUGGCAGACGGGUGAGUAACGCGUGGGAAUCUACCCAGAUCUUCGGAACAACUGAGGGAAACUUCAGCUAAUACCGGAUACGCCCUACGGGGGAAAGAUUUAUCGGUUCUGGAUGAGCCCGCGUUGGAUUAGCUAGUUGGUGGGGUAAUGGCCUACCAAGGCGACGAUCCAUAGCUGGUCUGAGAGGAUGAUCAGCCACACUGGGACUGAGACACGGCCCAGACUCCUACGGGAGGCAGCAGUGGGGAAUAUUGGACAAUGGGCGAAAGCCUGAUCCAGCCAUGCCGCGUGAGUGAUGAAGGCCUUAGGGUUGUAAAGCUCUUUCAGUGGGGAAGAUAAUGACGGUACCCACAGAAGAAGCCCCGGCUAACUUCGUGCCAGCCGCCGCGGUAACAC